rnacentral:rRNA from 1 species
GAUGAACGCUAGCGAUAGGCUUAACACAUGCAAGUCGAGGGGUAACAUGGGAGUAGCUUGCUACUUCUGAUGACGACCGGCGGAUGGGUGAGUAACGCGUAUGCAACUUGCCUCUUAGUGGGGAAUAACCCGGAGAAAUCCGGACUAAUACCGCAUACACUUAGUUAUCCGCAUGGAUGAUUAAGGAAAGAUUUAUUGCUCAGAGAUAGGCAUGCGUUCCAUUAGGUAGUUGGUGAGGUAACGGCUCACCAAGCCGACGAUGGAUAGGGGAGCUGAGAGGCUGACCCCCCACACUGGGACUGAGACACGGCCCAG